CUGAAGCAUCUGAUACAGUAGAAGCCAAACCUUCAAACAAUGCGUUUCCUGAGAGAUUUACUGCUGCUCUGUGUGGGUUUGCAGUAUGCAGGCUGUGCUGAGGUUAUAACCCAGCCCAUUUCAGAAGUCAGAAGGCCAGGAGAAUCUCUCAAGCUGUCUUGUAAAAUCUCUGGAUACUCUUUGACUGACAGCAGUAGCUGGUACGGCACAGGCUGGAUUCGUCAGCCCCCCAGGAAAGCACUGGAAUGGCUGGCAGUUGUGUGGUAUGAUGCAGACACAGCCUACCUGCCUUCAGUCCAGGGCCGGUUCACAGUCAGCAAGUCUGAUUCCAGCAGCACUGUGUUCUUACAGAUGAACAGCCUGAAGACUGAAGACACUGCCAUGCAUUACUGUGCUGGAGACCCACAGUGA